rnacentral:tRNA from 1 species
GCGGACGUGGCGAAACUGGCAGACGCGCUAGAUUCAGGUUCUAGUGGGAAACCGUGCAGGUUCAAAUCCUGUCGUCCGCACCA